UCUACACAGCUGCGCCUUCCCGCUGUAUGUGAUGACGACACUGGAGAAGGCGAGAGCGCGCAGAGGAGCUGUGAGGAGAGACAGGAGACAUUCCCGCCUUCUGUCCGGGGCUCCUCCCUCGUCACUGGAAAAAGGAGUGUAAAGAGAGACCGAGCGGGGAUGGCGGGAGCGCGCGGAGGAACUGUGAGGGAGGAGAGACCUUCCCGCCUCCUGUCCGGGGCUCCUCCCCCUCACCGGACCGGAAGACAUCGAGCGAGGAAGUCAUGUAUCAGAGGAUGACCUCAUCACCCAGCUACUCCGCCACCCUGUACAUCGAUGAACGUCUCACCCCACACAGGCGCUGCCACUCGUUCGCCUCCUUCUAAAUAAGAAAUAGCAGCUCCGAUCUGAAGUUGAGAAAUAAGUCUGUAUUCACAAAGUUAUUCCGGAAGAAGGAAUAAGCAGCCAGCUCCGCAUGGGUGGUGUCCUCGAAUCUCAGGUUGCAGCCCUCUGGUGUGUGAAGAACUGUGGAAUGUCUGGUCCUGAUAGGAGGACAGCAAUCACAUGACUGAUUUGUUUUGCAGGCCUUGGCUUUAGAAGAACAGGUGGAACAUGGAAUAUCAUAAACAUGAGACUAUAAUGAUAUUUCCGGAUAAAUGUGACAUUAACUGAACCGCCAAGAAAGUGACAUUAAAUAUAUUUUAUGUUUCUUCUAUACGGGAAGUGCCACUUACAAUGAAAGGAAAGGCAAGUGAAGAGAAAAGACUUGGAGGUGCUAUCGGCGCCCUCCGGAGGAGGAUCUGGAGAAAUUCCACAGCAACUGAACUCAUUUACCCCAACACUGAGCAAAUAGUAUUAUUCUAUUUCUAGUUUGUCGUUUCUGUGGGACCUUAUUUAUCAUUAUAUUUUUUAUCAUUCUGAAAUAUAUCAUGUUGUCUUAUUCAAAGCAAGACUAUAAAACCGUUCUCAUAAAUGGGCAAAAAAAAACUUUAA